AAACACUUUUCUGUGGAUUUGACACCAGUAACAGAAAUGAGAGGAACCCAACACCAAGAAUCAAAUACAAACGAUAUGGAAAGUCCACAAAAUCCAAGAUUUUAAGUGCCCAAGUAUAAAAAAAAACAGGCCAAAAAUUGCAGAAAGCAAGAUCAAAACUUAGAAAAAAAAUCCAAAUCAAUAAAAUCUAGGUCUCCAGGAUCAUUUAGCAGUGGAUCAUUUAGUCCUCCCCCCCUCACCUUGAAAAUCCAACAGAAAAGAGAGAAAGAGGGAAGAAAGCUAGGGGUUUGAUCAAAGAGUGAAAGAGAAAGGGAGACUUGACAAGCAGCAGAUAGUAUCGAUAUCACUAUCAAAGGAUCAAGAAUUUGGAAUCACGUCCCCAACCACAAACAAACAGAAACAUGUAUGCAAAUGGAAGGGAGAGGGAAAUUAGAAGUGUAAUUGGAAAUUUUUGAUUGAAAACGACAGCGCGUUUUCUGGGAGAUAGUGGAGAAAGAGGGAAGGAGCAAAAACUCGCGG
rnacentral:lncRNA from 1 species